CUUGUACACACCGCCCGUCACACCAUGGGAGCGGGUUCUGCCAGAAGUAGUUAGCCUAACCGCAAGGAGGGCGAUUACCACGGCAGGGUUCGUGACUGGGGUGAAGUCGUAACAAGGUACCC
rnacentral:rRNA from 1 species